GGUUCGAUGGUGUAGUUGGUUAUCACGUCCGUCUCACAGGCUUGAAUGGUUUCAACCGUACACGGGAGGUCUCCGGUUCGAACCCGGGUCGAACCA